ACCUAUACUAAAAGGGUUAUAUGAGCAUCAGAGAGUGUGUCCACGUAGGACAAUUAAAUCAUCCAAUCAGGAGGCUUCUCUACGACACGUCAUACACGCGAUGACCAAAGGCGAUUCUCGGCCCCUUUUCUUUUCGUCUUCUCCGCCGAUCUUCGUUUCAAUCCCCUCUCCAUUUUUAAACACGAUCUAAUCUCAUUAAUGGAGUCUUUUGGCUUUCUCAAUCUGAGAUUCUAUAUAUAUAGAUCUCGCACUCCAUCUCCUCUCUUCACCAAAUCUUAUUCCCUCCUCACGAUUAUACUAUACCCUCGGUGAUGAUGUUAUCCGAUGUUUCCGAGUUAGUGAAAACGAGCUGUGACGCUACGGUUCCCCGUUCCAGUCAAACCCGUCAAUCAAACCAGUGUCUCUUCCGACGAUGACAAAGCCGGCGAUGUCAUUUCCGUGAAAUCAGCAGGUCUCUCUGCAGCCUCCUCCGGUCCGAGCAAGUCAAUCGGCAAAACCGGUGUUUCUGCCGGCCUGGGCAUCGGCGCUAAGGACAAAUCCUCUGUCUCUUCCCGCGAGGAUUUCUUGUGAAGAUCUCUGUUAAUAACAAGCUUUAUCGGCCGGAGACGCUGCUUCUAUCUUUGAGGUCAUAUGAUGUUGUUAAGGCCCGAAUUUUCUUUCUUAUCUGGCUAUUUUCGAAUUCCGAUAAUCUGAUUGAGCUUUGUUUUGUUUUUUUUUCGUCAUAACAAGUUUGGAUCAGACAAGGUCAUAAUUGAUGGGCUACAGAUCUUCAACAUGGGAGCAAUGGUUUGUGUAGGAGACAAGAAAAUGAGGCUGGAUUCUUCUUCCAUCUAAUCAGGAGCCAAAAGGCGAGCUCCAGAGGAUGGAAAAUCUAAUUAUUUGGGGCUGUUCUUGGCUGAAAUAACUUGGGCAGGAUUCCUUCGGACGUGCGGUCGGCAUGAAGCUCAUGAAGAAGUCAAGUUUAAGAUCAAUGGUUUAGUUGAGACUGCACCAAAAGUUCCUGAAAAAGUGUAGAAUAUCCACUACGGUACUCCUUGGCCCGGUAAUAAUGUGCGCGAUCAUCCUGCCAUGAUCAAGGUCUUCCUUGGAAACAAAGGUCUUAACGAUGUAGAAAACUACGAGCUGCCUAGGCUGGUUUAUGUUCUCGUGAGGAGAGUGCCCAGGUCUGACAUAAAUUUAUUGUAUUCAGUUGAAGAUACGACUCUCUGGGGUUCUAUCAAAUAGUCUUUAUCUUCUGAAUGAAUGUAGAGUGUGGUUACUACAUUAACAAUACCAAAGCUCUUAGAUCAGCAAUAUGUUUCCCCAAGAAUCCGUAGUCGGGAAAAAGAUUUGUUAUGUUCAAUUCCCUCAACAAGAAUUAUUAUUUGCAGCAGAUGAAAACAAGGUUUUCAUGACUAUUUGCAAUCCCCCACAACAAACAGACUUCUUACGGUAAAAAUAUAACAUAUAUUAACUCUA